GACGAACGCUGGCGGCGUGCCUAAUACAUGCAAGCCGAACGAGAGCGACCGGUGCUUGCACUGGUCAAUCUAGUGGCGAACGGGUGAGUAACACGUGGGUAACCUGCCCAUCAGAGGGGGAUAACAUUCGGAAACGGAUGCUAAAACCGCAUAGGUCUUCGAACCGCAUGGUUUGAAGAGGAAAAGAGGCGCAAGCUUCUGCUGAUGGAUGGACCCGCGGUGCAUUAGCUAGUUGGUGAGGUAACGGCUCACCAAGGCCGGGAUGCAUAGCCGACCUGAGAGGGUGAUCGGCCACAUUGGGAUUGGGGCACGGCCCAAACUCCUACGGGAGGCAGCAGUAGGGAAUCUUCCGCAAUGGACGCAAGUCUGACGGAGCAACGCCGCGUGAGUGAAGAAGGUUUUCGGAUCGUAAAACUCUGUUGUUAGAGAAGAAUAAGUGCUAGAGUAACUGUUAGCGCCUUGACGGUAUCUAACCAGAAAGGCACGGCUAACUACGUG
rnacentral:rRNA from 1 species